GCAGUGGUGGUUCAGUAGUAGAAUUCUUAUGUGCGGUGCAGGAGACCCGGGUUCAAUUCCCAGCCAAUGCA
rnacentral:tRNA from 1 species